rnacentral:rRNA from 1 species
ACACGUCUUAGUUGAGUCUUUGUUCGUCUUAAUUUGUGGUGUUGGGUUACACGUCUUAGUUGAACCAAUUUAGUUACUGGUUUCCUUUUCUACACUAAGGGCUGUGUUGUGGACAUCAAGGUUUGUUUGUUCGUCUUAAUUUGUGGUGUGCUGGGUUUUCGAGUCGGUCGUGUACACUCCGAGGCACGUCGCUACGAAUGUAGCUAGACGAAGACGUCUAUUGCGCUGUUGAAGAACCCGGCAGCACCGCCUACGCACAUCGGUUACCGCUCUUUGAGGAGUUGCAACCCUGAUUCUUCAGGGAGAAGGGAGUCGCCGUCACGUCCGUUCGCAGACGGGUAGGCUAGAGUUGCGCCCUCCUCGGUAUCACCGCCACACCAGGAGAUCCCGGCGGCAUCGGCACGCUCAAACACCCGAAGAGGACGAAGCCGCUGCCCCUCCUCCGCAGGUGAUUCCGCCCCUACGCC